rnacentral:misc_RNA from 1 species
UCAAACUUGGUCAUUUAGAGGAAGUAAAAGUCGUAACAAGGUUUCCGUAGGUGAACCUGCGGAAGGAUCAUUAACGUAUCCGAGGCGUGGCGCGCGGUUCCCAGCUCCGGCCCAAACGGCCGUGCAGCGGGAGCCCGCCCCGUCCAACCUCACAAACCACCGUGAACCUUUACGGCGGAAGGAGGGGCGACCCUCUGGAAGCCGCAUACCAAACCCCAGUUUGUAAAGAAUGUCGUGCGGACUAGCGCCGCCUAAACAACGUAACAACUUUCAACAACGGAUCUCUUGGCUCUCGCAUCGAUGAAGAACGCAGC